rnacentral:rRNA from 1 species
UUUAGCCUACGGGGGGCAGCAGCGGGGAAUAUUGCACAAUGGGGGAAACCCCGAUGCAGCAACGCCGCGUGAGUGAAGAAGUAUUUCGGUAUGUAAAGCUCUAUCAGCAGGGAAGAAGAUGACGGUACCUGAGUAAGAAGCCCCGGCUAACUACGUGCCAGCAGCCGCGGUAAUACGUAGGGGGCAAGCGUUAUCCGGAUUUACUGGGUGUAAAGGGAGCGUAGACGGUGAGACAAGUCUGAAGUGAAAGCCCGGGGCUCAACCCCGGGACUGCUUUGGAAACUGCCUGACUGGAGUGCUGGAGG